rnacentral:rRNA from 1 species
UACGGAGGGUGCUAGCGUUGUUCGGAAUUACUGGGCGUAAAGCGCGUGUAGGCGGAUCGAGAAGUUGGGUGUGAAAUCCCUGGGCCUAACCCAGGAAUUGCGCCCGAAACCAUCGGUCUAGAGUUGGGUAGAGGAUCGGGGAAUUCCCGGUGUAGAGGUGAAAUUCGUAGAUAUCGGGAGGAACACCAGUGGCGAAGGCGCCGAUCUGGGCCCUAACUGACGCUAAGACGCGAAAGCGUGGGUAGCAAACAGG